rnacentral:piRNA from 1 species
UAAUACUGUGAGAUACUCUGUGGAU